rnacentral:rRNA from 1 species
UAGGGAAUCUUGCGCAAUGGGCGAAAGCCUGACGCAGCAACGCCGCGUGGGGGAUGAAGGCCCUCGGGUUGUAAACCCCUUUCAGCAGGAACGAAUCUGACGGUACCUGCAGAAGAAGGCUCGGCUAACUACGUGCCAGCAGCCGCGGCAACACGUAGGGGCCAAGCGUUGUCCGGAUUCAUUGGGCGAAAAGAGCUCGUAGGCGGUUCAGUUAGUCUGGUUGGAAAUCGCCGGGCUCAACUCGGAGGGGCCACCCGAUACUGCUGUGACUCGAGUCGGGUAGGGGAGUGGGGAAUUCCUGGUGUAGCGGUGAAAUGCGCAGAUAACAGGAGGAACACCGGUGGCGAAGGCGCCACUCUGGGCCGGUACUGACGCUGAGGAGCGAAAGCGUGGGGAGCAAAGAGG